GCCAUCGUUCAGUGGUGGAGCACCUGCUUUAUAUGCAAAAAGUCCCAGGUUCAAAUCCUGGCAUCUCCA